GGUAGGCUAGGGUAAGCUAUGAAGUUUGAUGAGGAAAUGAAAUUUCAAAGGGAUCAAAUAUAUUUCCCAGGAUAACUAUGCUAUAAGAGACAGAAACUGUGCCCAGCCCUCUUUAUGUACGCCACAUCCUUCCAUCAUACCUAGGCGUGACCCUUGAAUGGAUCCAUCAGGAGUGAAUAGUUUCAGUAACUGAAGACAGAAAGAUCAACCUGAGUAAAUCCACAUGGGGUGAAAAGGCAUUGCAAACUUGGUGAACUUUUAGAAGGAGGUUGGAACAUCAAACACGAGAAUCAUCCACUCCCCAACUUGUCUACACUGCAGCAUAUGGUACUCCACUGAACUCAAAAGAAAUAAAGAAUUUUUAAAAUCCUACAAAAUGGAAUAAAUCUCUCUGAAGACAGAUCGUAACAAAGACAAAAUCUGUUGAAGUUGCCAUUCUCAAAAAUACAUUCCUCAGAA